GUGUCCAUGGCGCAGCAGGUCAGCGCGUCGGGAUGUGACCCCGAAGGUCGCCGGUUCGAGCCCGGCUGGACACCCCA
rnacentral:tRNA from 1 species